rnacentral:rRNA from 1 species
AUGCCGACCAGUGAUCGGCUGAUGUUGCUUAUAGGGCUCCGCCGGCACCUUAUGAGAAAUCAAAGUCUUUGGGU